rnacentral:rRNA from 1 species
GAUGAACGCUGGCGGCGUGCCUAAUACAUGCAAGUCGAGCGAACAGACGAGGAGCUUGCUCCUCUGACGUUAGCGGCGGACGGGUGAGUAACACGUGGAUAACCUACCUAUAAGACUGGGAUAACUUCGGGAAACCGGAGCUAAUACCGGAUAAUAUAUUGAACCGCAUGGUUCAAUAGUGAAAGACGGUUUUGCUGUCACUUAUAGAUGGAUCCGCGCCGCAUUAGCUAGUUGGUAAGGUAACGGCUUACCAAGGCAACGAUGCGUAGCCGACCUGAGAGGGUGAUGGGCCACCCUGGAACUGAGACACGGGCCACACUCCUACGGGAGGCAGCAGUAGGGAAUCUUCCGCAAUGGGCGAAAGCCUGACGCAGCAACGCCGCGUGAGUGAUGAAGGUCUUCGGAUCGUAAAACUCUGUUAUUAGGGAAGAACAAAUGUGUAAGUACCUAUGCACGUCUUGACGGUACCUAAUCAGAAAGCCACGGCUAACUACGUG